AUCAUUCAUAUACUGUAGCUACCCUAACUGAUCUGCACGAUUACUUUACACUACAGUGCGGAGUAGGUAGUGCACAGCUUCUUCUAACAGGUGAGCUGGAUGCAGUGAAAUUCAUUCUUCAGACCGUGUGUUCUGUAAUUACUCUAAAUGUCCUUAUGGAAGUCAAAAUGUAGAUCAAAGUUUACUUCCAUCUUUAAAAUAUUAAAUAUUUUGUCUUACUUAUUUUAAUAAAUAGAGUUGGAUUUAAAUGAUACACAGUUAUGUCAAAAUGAAAACCCUUUAAUCUAAAGUAUCUGUCAAUAUAUCUUCCAUUCCCAGUCACUACUAUUUUUUUCUAAAUCCCUCUAGGAUUAUGUGAUUAAAACUUUGAUGAAAGAAAUGAGCAUAUCAAUGAAACUGGCACUGACUCAGUUUCCCACAGAUGUCACUUUCCCAGAUGUUGAAGAUGAACUCAAGAAAAUGAAGGGCAUUUGUAAAGCUUUGGAGUUAGAUGUAUUUCAAGAUUAAAAACAUU